CUGAACCAUUCGCAAGUUUUUACAUGUGACAAAAUAUGCAUUGCGCAUUCGCAAGUUUUUACAUGUGACAAACGGUGAUUUGCAGAGUUUUUACAUGUGACAAACGGUGAUUUGCAUUGCAUCUGACAGAAUGAAGACUUUAGUGUUUUACAACAAUUUGAGAGAAUACAUGUCUGAAAGUGAAUUUCACACAGACCUCUCUAAAAAUGAGCGAGAUCAAAUGCGCCGUGCAUCAUCGAACUUUACAGUAAAAGAUGGCCGGUUGUUCUAUAUUGGUUCCAACCAGCAGUACAUGCGUUUUGGUAAUCUUGUCCGAGGAGGAAAAGCUGUCUGCCCUCACAGAGUGCCACGAUAACGCUGGAACAGGCAACCACAAUGGUUUGAGAGGCACCAGAAACAGAGUCAUUGCUGGCUACUACUGGUCAACUAUUACAACUGACAUUACUAACUGGGAUGCUGAACUCUCUCCCACCUCUCCCCUCUGCCCCCAUUGGACCUGGAUCUUAACACCCCCCCCACCCACACACACACACAAUAUAUGUAUUGCUGUGCCUUCUUAUUUGCUCGUAUUAUGAUGGGAUAUGGUUUAAUUUAGUAAAUGGUUGUGUGUGAAAAAUGUAUAUCUCUAAAAUGUGUGUUGGUGUAUGAUCACAUUUGUAUAUGAAAAUGUCUGAAGUUCAUAAAAACAUUCUCAGUGUUCAAGUCAAUCACUGCAAAGGGUGACGAUAUGGCAGAAGGUGCUAUAUAUAUAUAUAUAUAUAUGGAAUUGUGUAUUUACCACAAUUCCAAAGCUGGUAAGGACUCUUUCAAAUUUAGCAAUAAUAGUCUGAAGAAAAGGACUGAUAACAGAGAUUUGCCCUAAUAUGUAUUCAGUAUGAUAGGCUCUGU